rnacentral:tRNA from 1 species
GAGGGGUUAGCGAAGUGGUCAAACGUGACAGACUCAAGAUCUGUUGACUUAGUGUCUUCGAGGGUUCGAAUCCCUCACCCCUCA